ACUACGGGAGGCAGCAGUGGGGGAUAUUGCACAAUGGGGGGAACCCUGAUGCAGCGACGCCGCGUGGGUGAAGAAGCGCCUCGGCGCGUAAAGCCCUGUCAGCAGGGAAGAAAAUGACGGUACCUGAAGAAGAAGCCCCGGCUAACUACGUGCCAGCAGCCGCGGUAAUACGUAGGGGGCAAGCGUUAUCCGGAUUUACGGGGUGUAAAGGGGGCGCAGACGGCGAUGCAAGCCAGGAGUGAAAGCCCGGGGCCCAACCCCGGGACUGCUCUGGGAACUGCGUGGCUGGAGUGCAGGAGGGGCAGGCGGAAUCGCUGGUGUAGCGGUGAAAUGCGUAGAUAUCAGGAGGAACACCGGUGGCGAAGGCGGCCUGCUGGACUGCAACUGACGUUGAGGCCCGAAAGCGUGGGGAGCAAACAGGAUUAGAUACCCCUGUAGUC
rnacentral:rRNA from 1 species